rnacentral:tRNA from 1 species
AGUAAAAUGGCUGAGGUAAGCGAUAAAUUGUAAAUUUAUUUACGAAGGAUUCUUCUUUUACU